rnacentral:rRNA from 1 species
UACGUAGGGUGCAAGCGUUGUCCGGAAUUAUUGGGCGUAAAGAGCUCGUAGGCGGUCUGUCGCGUCGGAUGUGAAAAUCCAGGGCUUAACCCUGGGCCUGCAUUCGAUACGGGCAGACUAGAGUUCGGUAGGGGAGACUGGAAUUCCUGGUGUAGCGGUGAAAUGCGCAGAUAUCAGGAGGAACACCGAUGGCGAAGGCAGGUCUCUGGGCCACUACUGACGCUGAGAAGCGAAAGCAUGGGGAGCGAACAGG